UACGUAGGGUGCUAGCGUUGUUCGGAAUCAUUGGGCGUAAAGCGCGUGUAGGCGGUUCGUUAAGUCCGUUGUGAAAGCCCUGGGCUCAACCUGGGAAUGGCAGUGGAUACUGGCGAGCUAGAGUGUGAUAGAGGAUGGUGGAAUUCCCGGUGUAGCGGUGAAAUGCGUAGAGAUCGGGGAGGAACACCAGUGGCGAAGGCGGCCAUCUGGAUCAACACUGACGCUGAGGCACGAAAGCGUGGGGAGCAAACAGGG
rnacentral:rRNA from 1 species